GAAAUGCGAUAAGUAAUGCGAAUUGCAGAAUUCCGUGAGUCAUCGAAUCUUUGAACGCACAUUGCGCCCUUUGGCAUUCCGAGGGGCAUGCCUGUUCGAGCGUCAUUAUCAACCCUCAAGCCCGGCUUGCUGUUGGGCCCUGCACCGUUUAACCGCGGUGGGCCCGAAAGAUAAUGGCAGAGUCCGUGGGGACCCUGGAUGCAGCGAGCUUCUUAGCACGCAUCGGAGGCGUCUUCCGGCUCGGUCUUAACCAAUUUUACUUCUAUGGUUGACCUCGGAUCAGGUAGGGAUACCCGCUGAACUUAA
rnacentral:misc_RNA from 1 species